rnacentral:rRNA from 1 species
GCAAGUCGGGGGAGAAAGUUCUUCGGAAUGAGUACACCGGCAGAAGGGUGAGUACAAACUAGUUAACGUACCAUGUAGAUCGGGAUAAUUCUUGGAAACGAGUUGUAAUACCGAAUGAGAUCACGUGUUCUUUGGAGCGAGUGCUCAAAAGCGAGGGACCUUUCGGGGCCUCGUGCUGUGUGAGCGGACUAGUCCUGAUUAGUUUGUUGGUGAGGUAAUGGCUCACCAAGACUGUGAUCAGUAGCCGGCCUGAGAGGGUGUUC